AGAGUUUGAUCAUGGCUCAGGACGAACGCUGGCGGCGUGCUUAACACAUGCAAGUCGAACGGUCUUUGCAGACGGAGUCCUUCGGGACAAAGACUGUAUAAGAUAGUGGCGGACGGGUGAGUAACGCGUGGGUAAUCUGCCUCUGAAACGGGGAUAACUUACCGAAAGGUGAGCUAAUACCGGAUGAGCUCUUUUAAGUCGCAUGGCUUAAAGAGGAAAGAUGACGUAAGUUGUCGAUCAGAGAUGAACCCGCGUCCCAUUAGCUAGUUGGUGAGGUAACGGCUCACCAAGGCGACGAUGGGUAGCCGGCCUGAGAGGGUGAACGGCCACACUGGGACUGAGACACGGCCCAGACUCCUACGGGAGGCAGCAGUGGGGAAUAUUCGGCAAUGGGGGCAACCCUGACCGAGCAACGCCGCGUGGGUGAAGAAGUUUUUCGGAACGUAAAGCCCUGUCAUGAGGGAAGAAUGUCUCGAAGUUUAAGAGAUGUCGGGAGUGACGGUACCUCAUAAGAAAGCUCCGGCUAACUACGUGCCAGCAGCCGCGGUAGUACGGAGGGAGCGAGCGUUGUUCGGAAUUACUGGGCGUAAAGGGCGCGUAGGCGGUCGGGUAAGUCGGGUGUGAAAUUCCGGGGCUCAACCCCGAGAACUGCAUUCGAUACUGCUCGACUUGAGAGAGGUAGGGGCGAGUGGUAAUUCCCGGUGUAGCGGUGGAAUGCGU
rnacentral:rRNA from 1 species